rnacentral:rRNA from 1 species
UACGUAGGGUGCAAGCGUUAAUCGGAAUUACUGGGCGUAAAGCGUGCGCAGGCGGUCUUGCAAGACAGAUGUGAAAUCCCCGGGCUUAACCCUGGGAACUGCAUUUGUGACUGCAAGGCUGGAGUACGGUAGAGGGGGAUGGAAUUCCGCGUGUAGCAGUGAAAUGCGUAGAUAUGCGGAGGAACACCGAUGGCGAAGGCAAUCCCCUGGACCUGUACUGACGCUCAUGCACGAAAGCGUGGGGAGCAAACAGG